rnacentral:rRNA from 1 species
AUUGAACGCUGGCGGCAGGCCUAACACAUGCAAGUCGAACGAGUGGCGGACGGGUGAGUAAUGUCUGGGAAACUGACUGAUGGAGGGGGAUAACUACUGGAAACGGUAGCUAAUACCGCAUAACAGCAGAUGUGCCCAGAUGGGAUUAGCUAGUUGGUGGGGUAACGGCUCACCAAGUCGACGAUCCCUAGCUGGUCUGAGCGGAUGACCAGCCACACUGGAACUGAGACACGGUCCAGACUCCUACGGUCGGCAGCAGUGUGGAAUAUUGCACAAUGGGCGCAAGCCUGCUGCAGCCAUGCCGCGUGUAUGAAGAAGGCCUUCGGGUUGUAAAGUACUUUCAGCGGGGAGGCGUUACCCGCAGAAGAAGCACCGGCUAACUCCGGGCCAGCAGCCGCGGUAAUUC